GAUCCUGGCUCAGGACGAACGCUAGCGGCGUGCUUCAUACAUGCAAGUCGAACGAGAAAUUCACUUCGGUGGAUGGAAAGUGGCGGACGGGUGAGUAAUGUGUAGAGAAUCUGCCCUAGAGCGGGGGACAACAGCUGGAAACGGUUGCUAAUACCCCAUAUGAGCGUAUCUGAAAUGGUAUUCUUGAAAACUCCGGUGCUCUAGGAUGAGUCUGCAUCUGAUUAGCUAGUUGGGGG
rnacentral:rRNA from 1 species